AAUAAUGGAAAGAGGAUCUGAUCGCUUAGCUUUAAUCACAUGAAAAAAUUGGCAAUAUGGGUCGUGGCCAAGUUUGCAAUUUGCCCUUUGGAUCCGUGAAUGUUUUUUUGUUGUCUUUAUGUGAAAACAAGUUCUUAACGUCUGAAGCGUAAAAGCAUUAUUAUUUUUGUGUAGAUAAAUAAUAAAGAACUUUGAUUCUAAUUUUGUUAAGCUUCUGAGAAUCACAAAGACACAACUUAUUUUCCUCUGGAUGGUUUGCUUAUCCAUUUACUUUAAUAUGAUUUCUGAAUCAAAAUCUAUGCGUUUUUGACCACACACUUAUCAUAUUAGUUUGUAUUAUUAUUGCAUAAUGAGGGUUCAAAGUUAGUAGAGUUUGCUACCAUGUGAAUUGUAUAGUCAGAAACAAACUUGUCAAGAUCAUGUUUAGAAGUUUAGAAGUUUUUCGUUUUUUUUAAGGCAAGUUUUAUGAUAAGAUAAAAAAAUACAUGGAAAAUCAGAAAAUAUAAUGAAAUGAUGAUUUCUGAACCGGACCGGUGAUUUUGCAUUGGUCCUGGAUUUUACGCCUAGCCCAAUCUAUAACCUUGAGCUCUGUUUAUCUUCAGUCUUAUAGUUUUAAUGGUUUCUCUAAUUUAUCUGGUCUAGGGUCUCCAGAACACUAUUCUCUUAUCGGGCAUCCAUACUGCUGAAACACGUCGCAGUUCAUUGCAUGUCUUAUACAAUAAAUAAGACUUUUGUCUCUCCUUAAGGUGUCUACAUCAGCAAGGAGGGAGGGACAUUUUCUGACACGUGGCACGUUAAUUAUUUUCUGAUUUCAAAUGCUUUUGUUAUUUCUAGCGGGCUGGGCCUAUUGUUUUGUCUUUGUUUAAAAAUAGAUUUAUUUUCGUUUGGGCUUCGUUUAAUUUGUCUUUAUAUUACUGUUAUACUAAUUUUAACUAGGCUUUUAAGUUGUAGCCCGGUUUAACCAUAAUCUUUUUCAUCUCUUAGAAACUGUAGGCCUACCGAUUCCCUUUCACUUUCUCCUGCGAUGUAACGAUGUAGUUAUGACCUUUAAUCACGUUAUCCCACUAAACUCACAACCACCCCUCUUCAUUGCUUCUUUAAUUACACAUUUUAAAGCUUAAUUUUGUGUAUAUCUACACCUUCUGAGAGCCCCCUGCAAUUCCCUUACUUUCAUAAAACCUAUAAAUAUAUCGCCCAUGUUCUCUUUUAAUGGACGAUAGUUGGCAAUUUCUCAGUUUUAUUUCUCUGAUUUGAGUGAGGCGGCUACAAACAGUCAGUUCAGGCAAGAUGCCUAUGUGUUUCUCGGAAGCCAAUAAAGUAAUGAAAAGAGGAUAGACAAAUCCAGGAAUCAAUUAAUGUGCAACUAUUCAACACCUUAAAAAAAUGAAGUAUCUAGCUUAAUGUUUUGUAUUUCAUAUGAAGGAGCAACCCUUACUUCCGGUUUGGAGAAAUCCAUGUUUCUAUUAGAUUUACGGAGCAAACCGUGUUUGUUGAGGUCGCUGAAACCGAUUCCAGUGGAGAGUUUUGGGUUUUGCAAUUACUAACACCUUAUGGUAUUGGCCAACACCAACACAGAUUUUUUUUUCCAGGCCGCCUUUUCCUCAAUGCAACCUCCGGAACACAUUUCUACUUUUACCAAGAAAGUGUAACCAGCCAGAGCUUUCUACAAGACUAAGUUUUGUGGAUCUGACAUUGAUAGCUCCUCCACUCCUUCCAAGUAUGGCGGUGUACAGAAAAUUGAGUUAGCAACAAUUGUGGAGUUUAUUGUCUGUGUCGUGAAUUCACCACCUCAGGCGGUACGGUAGAAUUCCACUGCACUGGCCAAGUCGAUGACAUUGAGAAAACUGACGGACCAAUGCUUCAUCAUUAAAGCUUUGCUUACAAGGAGGUGGUGACUACCCUGGAAAUGAUAUUCUGGAUGCUGUGACUCUCACUAUUAACCCUCUCAUGUGAUGGGGAGCAGUGGUUCACAUAAUACCACAUGAAGUAACACUGCUCCAAUUUUUGAAGGAAGCAUGGCUGAGUCAGCAGUACUACCUGCCCAACCUGAUGCAUUUUUAGCACCCGAAAGGAUACCACAGAGCCUGAGAUCUCCAACCAUAGAGAUCCAUGACAAUAUUAAUAUAGGUGAAGAACUAAUUCCACACUGAACGUGCUAAGUUUGAGUCAAUAAUUUUUCUACAUUAUAUAGAUUGUCGUCUUUUUAGUUUGCUUGGUUAUAUACUUAUAUCAUAUAUAAAUACGUUGAUCUCAUUACUGUAGGAAUUUUUUACGGCUCUAGCUAUUACAUAUUCCUAAAAUUGUUUAA